UACGAGGGGGUGCAAGCGUUGUUCGGAAUUAUUGGGCGUAAAGGGUGCGUAGGCGGUCUGACAGUCUGAUGUGAAAUCUAUGGGCUCAACCCAUAGUCUGCAUCGGAAACUGUCGGGCUUGAGUAUGGGAGAGGUGAGGUGGAAUUUCCGGUGUAGCGGUGAAAUGCGUAGAUAUCGGAAGGAACACCUGUGGCGAAAGCGGCUCACUGGACCAUUACUG
rnacentral:rRNA from 1 species